UCGUCUUCGAGCCCUGCUUCCUGUGGCGAAUGCUAUGGAAACCGGGCCGUGCUGAGAAAUCGGCUUCAGGGUUGUGCGGGAAACGGCGCAGCCUCCCUUUUGCAAAGAAG
rnacentral:ncRNA from 1 species